rnacentral:rRNA from 1 species
GUGGGGAAUUUUGGACAAUGGGCGCAAGCCUGAUCCAGCAAUGCCGCGUGCAGGAAGAAGGCCUUCGGGUUGUAAACUGCUUUUGUACGGAACGAAACGGUCCGGGUUAAUACCCUGGGCUAAUGACGGUACCGUAAGAAUAAGCACCGGCUAACUACGUGCCAGCAGCCGCGGUAAUACGUAGGGUGCAAGCGUUAAUCGGAAUUACUGGGCGUAAAGCGUGCGCAGGCGGUUUUGUAAGACAGGCGUGAAAUCCCCGGGCUCAACCUGGGAAUUGCGCUUGUGACUGCAAGGCUGGAGUGCGGCAGAGGGGGAUGGAAUUCCGCGUGUAGCAGUGAAAUGCGUAGAUAUGCGGAGGAACACCGAUGGCGAAGGCAAUCCCCUGGACCUGUACUGACGCUCAUGCACGAAAGCGUGGGGAGCAAACAGGAUUAGAUACCCCGGUAGUCC